rnacentral:siRNA from 1 species
AUGGAUCAAGCCAACGUGUUAUC